ACGUAAUAGAUACCCGGGUAGUCCACGCCCUAAACGAUGUCUACUAGUUGUUGGUGGAGUAAAAUCCAUGAGUAAACGCAGCUAAACGCGUGAAGUAGACCGCCUGGGGAGUACGGUCGCAAGAUUAGAACUCAAAUGAAUUGACGGGGGCCCGCACGAGCGGUGGAUUAUGUGGAUUAAUUCGAUGCAACGCGAAAACCUUACCUGGCCUUGACAUGUAACGAACUUUCCAGAGAUGGAUUGGUGCUCGAAAGAGAACGUUAACACAGGUGCUGCAUGGCUGUCGUCAGCUCGUGUCGUGAGAUGUUGGGUUAAGUCCCGCAACGAGCGCAACCCUUGCCAUUAAUUGCCAUCAUUUAGUUGGGCACUUUAAUGGGACUGCCGGUGACAAACCGGAGGAAGGUGGGGAUGACGUCAAGUCCUCAUGGCCCUUAUGGCCAGGGCUUCACACGUAAUACAAUGGUCGGUACAGAGGGUUGCCAACCCGCGAGGGGUAGCCAAUCCCAGAAAGCCGAUCGUAGUCCGGAUUGUAGUCUGCAACUCGAC
rnacentral:rRNA from 1 species